rnacentral:lncRNA from 1 species
UUAGGAGGUAUCGGUUGGCCAAAAAAUCACAAAAAAUCAAACUUACCGACGGAGGAGUCUUCGGGUGCGGCGGCUCCACCAGUCCUCAUUCGUGGCUGGGGUUUUUUCUUUGGUUAACAUGUACAGAAAAGGACGGUGAACAUAAUGAUUGAAAAAUCGCGUAAAACAGGAAGCGGAAAGAGACUCAUUAAAGAGAUUUUUAAGUUUUGACCACACCAGCUCCGCUAGGUUUUAUCCGUAGUUUUCGGCUCACCCGCUGUUUCUCUUGCUUCGAUAUGGUCAUAGGGAGGCUUGGAAUCGAAUUCCAAAUGGGUAAGAAAUUUUUUUACUAUUUUUAGCGGUCGGCGGUGGCUCCAGUGCAACGGCAAUCGGCGGUCGGCCUUUUUCUUUAGCGCCUAGUUCUUCUUCUUCGGCGUUAGGGUUUGACUUCCCCUGUGACGCGAGGUAUUUAUAUUCAUCCUGCAUCGAUCUGGAC